GCCCGCCUAGCUCAAUCGGAUAGAGCGUCAGACUCUUAUGUCUGGGCGGGUUUCUCCGUUUAGUGGAAUCUGAAGGCUGCGAGUUCGACCCUCGCGGUGGGCU